AUUGAACGCUGGCGGCAGGCCUAACACAUGCAAGUCGAGCGAGUGGCGGACGGGUGAGCAAUGUAUGGGGACUGGUCGAUUGAGGGGGAUAACUACUGGCAACGGUAGCUAAUACCGUAUACUAUCGGAUAACCCAUGUGGGAGUAGAUAGUAGGUGAGGUAAUGGCUCACCUGGGCGACGAUCCCUAGCUGGUCUGUGAGGGUGAUCAGCCACACUGGGACUGAUACACGGCCCGGACUCCUACGGAGGCAGCGGUGGGGGAUAUUGCCCAAUGGGCGCAAGCCUGAUGCAGCCAUGCCGCGUGUAUGAAGCAGGCCCUAGGGUUGUGAAGUACAUUCAGUCGGGGGGCGUUUCCGACAGAAGAAGCACCGGCUAACUCCGUGCAAGCAGCCGCGGUAAUAC
rnacentral:rRNA from 1 species